CAGUCGCCGCGGUAAUACGUAGGUGGCAAGCGUUGUCCGGAAUUAUUGGGCGUAAAGGGCUCGCAGGCGGUUUCUUAAGUCUGAUGUGAAAGCCCCCGGCUCAACCGGGGAGGGUCAUUGGAAACUGGGAAACUUGAGUGCAGAAGAGGAGAGUGGAAUUCCACGUGUAGCGGCGAAAUGCGUAGAGAUGUGGAGGAACACCAGUGGCGAAGGCGACUCUCUGGUCUGUAACUGACGCUGAGGAGCGAAAGCGUGGGGAGCGAGCAGGAUUAGAUACCCGGGUAGUCCCUGUCUCUUAUAC
rnacentral:rRNA from 1 species